AUCCUUUUCUGGUUCAUAAGAAUGAUUACUGGGUGUUAACAUACCUAUGUGACAUGCGCCUUCCUUAAAUCUUGUUACACUUUUGGCACAUUAGUUCAUAUGAAG